UUGAGAGUUUGAUCCUGGCUCAGAACGAACGCUGGCGGAAGGCUUAACACAUGCAAGUCGAGCGCGCCCUUCGGGGUGAGCGGCAGACGGGUGAGUAACGCGUGGGAACGUGCCCUUUGGUUCGGAAUAGCCCUUGGAAACGAGGAGUAAUGCCGAAUAAGCCCCCUGGGGGAAAGAUUUAUCGCCGAAAGAUCGGCCCGCGUUAGAUUAGCUUGUUGGUG
rnacentral:rRNA from 1 species